rnacentral:rRNA from 1 species
AUACGUAGGGUGCAAGCGUUAAUCGGAAUUACUGGGCGUAAAGCGUGCGCAGGCGGUUUUGUAAGACAGUGGUGAAAUCCCCGGGCUCAACCUGGGAACUGCCAUUGUGACUGCAAGGCUGGAGUGCGGCAGAGGGGGAUGGAAUUCCGCGUGUAGCAGUGAAAUGCGUAGAUAUGCGGAGGAACACCGAUGGCGAAGGCAAUCCCCUGGGCUUGUACUGACUCUCAUGCACGAAAGCGUGGGGAGCAAACAGGAUUAGAUACCCUGGUAGUCCACGCCCUAAACGAUGUCAACUGGUUGUUGGGUCUUCAUUGACUCAGUAACGAAGCUAACGCGUGAAGUUGACCGCCUGGGGAGUACGGCCGCAAGGUUGAAACUCAAAUGAAUUGACGGGG